ACCUCGGAUCAGGUAGGAAUACCCGCUGAACUUAAGCAUAUCAAUAAGCGGAGGAAAAGAAACCAACAGGGAUUGCCUCAGUAACGGCGAGUGAAGCGGCAACAGCUCAAAUUUGAAAUCUGGCCCCCAGGCCCGAGUUGUAAUUUGUAGAGGAUGAUUCUGGCGACGCGCCUUCCGAGUUCCCUGGAACGGGACGCCAUAGAGGGUGAGAGCCCCGUCCGGUCGUGCGCCUAGCCUCUGUGAAUCUCCUUCGACGAGUCGAGUAGUUUGGGAAUGCUGCUCUAAAUGGGAGGUAUACGUCUUCUAAAGCUAAAUACCGGCCAGAGACCGAUAGCGCACAAGUAGAGUGAUCGAAAGAUGAAAAGCACUUUGAAAAGAGGGUUAAAAAGUACGUGAAAUUGCUGAAAGGGAAGCGCUUAUGACCAGACUUGGGCGUGGUGAAUCAUCCGGCGUUCUCGCCGGUGCACUUUGCCUGUCCAGGCCAGCAUCAGUUCUCCCCGGGGGAUAAAGGCUUCGGGAAUGUAGCUCCUUCGGGAGUGUUAUAGACCGUUGGNAAAUACCCUGGGGGG
rnacentral:rRNA from 1 species